AACGAACGUUGGCGGCGUGGAUUAGGCAUGCAAGUCGAACGAAUCCCAGCAAUGGGGGAAGUGGCGUAAGGGGCAGUAAGGCAUGGGUACCUACCCGGGGGUCGGGGAUAGCCUGUCGAGAGACAGGGUAAUACCCGAUAAUGUCGCAAGACCAAAGCUCCGGUGUCCUCGGCGGGGCCCAUGUAGUAUUAGCUAGUUGGUGGGGUAACGGCCCACCAAGGCGAAGAUGCUUAGCGGGUGUGAGAGCACGACCCGCGCCACUGGCACUGAGACACUGGCAAGACACCGACGGGGGGCUGCAGUCGAGAAUCUUCGGCAAUGGGGGAAACCCUGACCGAGCGACGCCGCGUGGGCGAUGAAGGCCUUCGGGUUGUAAAGCCCUGUCGAGGGGGAGGAAAGGCAACUUGACCUAUCCCUGGAGGAAGCACGGGCUAAGUUCGUGCCAGCAGCCGCAGUAACAC
rnacentral:rRNA from 1 species